rnacentral:rRNA from 1 species
UUUAUUGAUUUUUUUGUUAUUUAUUUUUGUGGUAUCUAAUUGUUUAAUUGAAGAAUCAUUGUGGUUGUUGUAUUUUUGUGAUUUAAUUUUUUAUACGAUAGUAUAUUUGUACUGUAGGGGGUUAUUAGGUGUUUUUAUUGAAGUAGGUUUUGUUUGCCGUACCUUGUGUAUCAGGGUUCAUUGAAUUUUAUUAUUUAUUUUUAUUUCCCGAUUUUAAAGGAGUUAAUGAUUUAUGUUAGUUACUGUUUCAGUAGUAUUAAUAAUGGAUUAUUGGUAGUGAAAUGUUAUUCGUCUUUGGGGGUUUCUGGUUUUUCAAGAAAUGAAUUUAAUUCAUGCAUUUUAUUUAAUUUCUGUUGUUUAUUUAUUUGAUUUUAAUUUUAUGCUAAGAUUAAGGGGGAUUAGCUCCUUAUUUUAUUUUUAUAAUUGAUGGCUUUAAUUUAGUUUUGUGGAUUUUAUGGUGAUUUUCAAUUGGAUUAUGUUAAAAUUUUAUUUGUUCUUUUGUUUAUUUGGCUUUAGUUUAAUUUGUUUAUUGAAAUGUUUAUUUUAUCUUUGGUUAGUAUAGUAAUUAUUGUGUAAUUAGUAAAUUUUAUUUUUGUGUUGUAUUCUUUAUAUGUUAAUUUCUUUUUAGGAACUAGGCAAAAGUUUCAUGUCCGCCUGUUUAACAAAAACAUCUUUUCUUGUUAGUUUUUGAAGUAUGGCCUGCCCACUGACUUUGUGUUGAAGGGCCGCGGUAUUUUGACCGUGCAAAGGUAGCAUAAUCAUUAGUUCUUUAAUUGUGAUCUGGUAUGAAUGGCUUGACGAGACAUGAGCUGUCUUAGGGGUAUUGUUUAUUGAAUUUGGUUUUUGAGUUAAAAUUCUUAGAUGUUUUUAUGGGACGAGAAGACCCUAUAGAGUUUAACAUUUGUUCUUAUUGUGAUUUGUUGUUUGUUAUUGUUUUAUUUAGUAGGUUGAAUGUUUUGUUGGGGUGAUGGGAGGAAUUUUUUUAACUCCUCUUUGUUUUUAUAUAUUUAUUUAUAUUAUUUUGAUCCAUUUAUUUUGAUUAUAAGAUUAAAUUACCUUAGGGAUAACAGCGUUAUCUUCCUUGAGAGUUCUUAUUGGCGGGGAGGUUUGCGACCUCGAUGUUGGAUUAAGGUGAAUUUUCGGUGCAGGAGCUGAAAGUGAUUAGGUCUGUUCGACCUUUAAAAUCUUACAUGAUCUGAGUUCAGACCGGCGUGAGCCAGGUUGGUUUCUAUCUAUAAUAUAAUUUUAUACCUUAGUACGAGAGGACCGGGUAUUUGGAAUAAUUUUAGUAGUAUAUGAUUUUUAUUAAUGUAUU